rnacentral:sRNA from 1 species
UACUCACAGGAAGGCCAGGUUCUGGUU